rnacentral:rRNA from 1 species
UGGGGAAUAUUGGACAAUGGGGGGCAACCCUGAUCCAGCAAUGCCGCGUGUGUGAAGAAGGUCUUCGGAUUGUAAAGCACUUUCGACGGGGACGAUGAUGACGGUACCCGUAGAAGAAGCCCCGGCUAACUUCGUGCCAGCAGCCGCGGUAAUACGAAGGGGGCUAGCGUUGCUCGGAAUGACUGGGCGUAAAGGGCGUGUAGGCGGUUUACACAGUCAGAUGUGAAAUCCCCGGGCUUAACCUGGGAGCUGCAUUUGAUACGUGUAGACUAGAGUGUGAGAGAGGGUUGUGGAAUUCCCAGUGUAGAGGUGAAAUUCGUAGAUAUUGGGAAGAACACCGGUGGCGAAGGCGGCAACCUGGCUCAUUACUGACGCUGAGGCGCGAAAGCGUGGGGAGCAAACAGGAUUAGAUACCCUGGUAGUCCACGCCUGUAAACGAUGUGUGCUAGAUGU